rnacentral:lncRNA from 1 species
AAGGCAGCUGUUACCCAAGCCCUGCACCUCCAUCUUCCCAGAGUCUCGUGGGAAACAGAUUUCAAACAACAACAGACAGCAAGACUGAGAAACUACGAAAGAUCAGCCUGGAAGCAGUGUUUGGAGCUGAGAUGACUUGGCAGGGAGAAGAAUCCACUGGGACAUUCAAUAACUUGGCAUUGAGAGUGUUUUCAGCACCAUGCUGUCCUCAGAAUAGUGUUAGAAUUUAUAUAAACACAGAUGUGACUUGUGCCUUGAAGGAGAAUACAGUCUUCCCAGGAGAGACAUGCAAAACCAUCAUAGACAAACAGCAAGAAAACAGCAUCAAGGAUGUACAUGCACCGGGCAGAAUGUAAACUGGAUGUAAAACCAAGCAUUUGAGGGCAAUGAGAAAGGAACUUGGUUCUGGUCUCAACUCUGCCACCCACAGCUGCGUGACUAUGUCUCUGUCACACUGCUUCUCAGGUCUUCAACUUUAUCGUCUCAUACUGAGCAAGAGACAGUCUGGACAAUUUAUGCUUCUAGAAUGGGGAGACAAGAAGAAAAGAAAGAUAGAUACCCAAGGACUUCAGUGACUGGCUCAGGAAGAAUUACUCAGCAGUGAGGGGGCCAGCAUGAGCCCAGGGGCAAGAAGCCGGGACUUGGAACAGGAAGGAAAGGUGCUCAGCUGGCUAACCUAGAGGAAAGUGAUUGGCUGGAGUGUCUGGUUUAUCUGUUUCAGGGAUGGUUAAAGAUUGCCCCGUUAAUAGGCAAAAAUUGUUGCCUUAAAGAACCUAGAAUCUAAAGGGGUCUUUGACAUAAUACAGAAUAACAGGUCCCAGAGAUUAUUUUACAGAAUGUUAGUACCUCAUGAUAUUAAUAGAUAUAUAACAAAACAGACUUCUUUGCCACAAGACUUCUCAGUACCUUUAACAUUUUAUGAUUUUCCCAAAGGACAAAGAGUAUGCAGCAUUUCCCAGACUUAAAUUUAACUGUGAACACCU